rnacentral:rRNA from 1 species
AGUGAACGCUGGCGGCAGGCCUAACACAUGCAAGUCGAACGGCAGCACGGCAGUAGCAAUACUGUGGGUGGCGAGUGGCGGACGGGUGAGGAAUACAUGGGAAUCUACCCUGUCGUGAGGGAUAACGUAGGGAAACUUACGCUAAUACCGCAUACGACCGAGAGGUGAAAGCGGCGGACCGCAAGGCCUCGCGCGAUUGGAUGGACCCAUGUCGGAUUAGCUAGUUGGCGGGGUAAAGGCCCACCAAGGCGACGAUCCGUAGCGGGUCUGAGAGGGUGAUCUGCCACACUGGAACUGAGACACGGUCCAGACUCCUACGGGAGGCAGCAGUGGGGAAUAUUGGACAAUGGGCGCAAGCCUGAUCCAGCCAUGCCGCGUGAGUGAAGAAGGCCUUCGGGUUGUAAAGCUCUUUUGUCCGGAAAGAAAAGCUCUCGGUUAAUACCCGGGGGUGAUGACGGUACCGGAAGAAUAAGCACCGGCUAACUUCGUGCCAGCCGCCGCAGUAA